rnacentral:rRNA from 1 species
GAUGAACGCUGGCGGCGUGCCUAAUACAUGCAAGUCGAGCGAACAGAUGAGGAGCUUGCUCCUCUGACGUUAGCGGCGGACGGGUGAGUAACACGUGGAUAACCUACCUAUAAGACUGGGAUAACUUCGGGAAACCGGAGCUAAUACCGGAUAAUAUAUUGAACCGCAUGGUUCAAUAGUGAAAGACGGUUUUGCUGUCACUUAUAGAUGGAUCCGCGCCGCAUUAGCUAGUUGGUAAGGUAACGGCUUACCAAGGCAACGAUGCGUAGCCGACCUGAGAGGGUGAUGGGCCACACGGGAACGGAGACCCGCAACAGACUCCAACGGGAGGCAGCAUUGGGGAAUCUGCCGCAAUGGGCGAAGGAUGGACGGAGCAACGCCUGGUGGAUGAUAAAGGUCUUCGGACCGUAAACCUCUGUUAUUGGGAAAGAAAAAAUGUGCAAGUACCUAUGCCCGUCUAGCCGGUACCUAAUCAGAAGGCCACGGCUACCUCCGUG